GAAAAAGCCAGGGAUUCUACUACUUGAAUGCACAGACUUCAGCAGAACCACAUGAUGCAAGGGGCAUCUUCAUAGAUCGUCUUCACCUCUGCUCUGCUGCCUGAUGCUGCUGCUGGCCUGGUUCUUCCAGCUCCUCAAGUUGUGGCUGCGCGUAAAUUUAAAGGAACUUCCUGAUUUUGGAAGGGAGAGUUAGCGACCAGGAAGCCAUAGAGAGAAAUUCAGAUGAGGUAUAAGUAUGUGAUGCUCCACUAAAGUCAAUGGUAUCACAACAGAGCUGAACUGGACCCUGAGUUUUGCUGAUGUGGCUUUCAUAAGAGAAGAAUACAUAGCCAAAAGUGAACCAUUUAUCUGAAACUCUGACUAUUUUGAGGUCAGAGGAAAAUGGGACCUACAGCUGAGCCACCCACAGCUUUAGUCUGACAGAAGAUAUUCUGCAAAACCAAAAUCAUCCCUUGGUUUGCUAUCUCUGCAUACAUGCUAGUACUGAUAAACAAAACUCUCUUGCUAAAAGAAGUCUGUUUUCUGGAGCCUUGCUACAGAAGAUGAAGGACAACAGCUUGAAUAGCUUCCAGAAGCCUCUUUAUGGAGUUGUGUGAGAAUUUUGCUUUGUUUCAGCUUCUGUUGUCAGAUCCAGAUUUAAAACUCCAAAACAGUUAAGUGCACCACAAGAGGAGGCUGCAGGUGUAGAAAAACACUGCGCUCUCCCCAUGAUGGGUAGCCCACAAGGGACAAGCAUGGCCCCUGAAGUCCUGGAUGGGAAAGUGUUUGACUAGGGUGCUAGAAGAUGCACUUAAUCAUUGUGUUCCUUUGAGUCUUCUGCCAGUGCAGUUUUCUGAAGCCUACCAAUAUUUCCAAAGGAGCGUGGUGAAGAAAACAGUGCCUGCCCUCGCUAGGGAAUGAAUCCACCUGGAUGUAGUGACCCCCAAUGAUGCAGGAGGAGCAAACUGAGGAGGAGUGAUCUGUCACACAAAAUAUAUUCAACAUCCUUUGAACUGAACAGUUAUUAAAGUUUCCUUCUAGUGAUAGCAAAACAUUCUGUACAUUACCAAAAAUAACGCUGCACUAUCUGUUUCUAAUAAAGUUAUGGCUGAGUGGAUUCAUAAAACAAACUUAUUUUUAUUGAUAAAAAUGACCCAUAUGCUAUAAUAAACAAAAAGUAUAUUAUACAUGUAAGUGCUUUGUAGCAAAGUGUGCUCUGAUCAGAGUUAAAAUUGUUCUUCUUGUCAAAGGGAAGAAAUGUGACUGAGAGAUUGGAAAUCUAUUGAAAUAGCUCAACUGAUGUGCUGCUACAGUUUCUAGGCAAACUGAUGGUCCAUCUGUUCAUAAUAACUUAAUAAAAUCAAGGAAUCAGUAUAUUCCUUUUUCCAUGAGAAGGUGACUUACUGUUUCAUAAAUGCCAAUGUAAUGUUUUAUUUGGUUCUGCAAUUCCUGGUUUUGCUCUUGAUCUCACAUAUUUUAACAGUUUGUGCAAAACAUGAGAUGACUCUACCCCUUUCCUUUCAACAUUUGCUUUGAGGAGUGAUCAAUGCCUUCUGCCUUGCCGUUAAAUAGAUUUUGAAGAACUCAUUAAUCCAUAUCAGUGUCAUAUCCUUAUUUAGGUCUUUGCAUUUAUCCUCAGCUGGGAAUUCUGCAGGUAACUGUGAUUCUGUUGUGUUGAACGCUUAAAAGUGUUUCAUCCAUCAUCAUUUCGAGUCCUUUUCUGAUGCAAUAUAGUUUGUUCUUUGUCUUUCUUGAAAACUGAAUGGCUGUUAAAUUAUCCAUUUAUCUUCUUUCA